UGACGCAGCGACGCCGUGUGAGGAAGAAGCCUUUCGGGUCGUAACCUUCUGUCAGGAGGGAAGACCNCCAGGAGUCGAAUAGCUUUUUGGUCUGCGGUACCUCCAGAGGAAGCCCGGCUAACUCCGUCCAGCAGCCGCGGUAAUACGGAGGGCGCAAGCGUUAAUCGGAAUCACUGGGCGUAAAGCGCGCGUAGGCUGUUUGGUAAGUCAGACGUGAAAUCCCUCGGCUCAACCGGGGAACUGCGUUUGAUACUGCCGAACUCGAGUCCUGGAGAGGGUGGCGGAAUUCCUGGUGUAGGAGUGAAAUCCGUAGAUAUCAGGAGGAACACCGGUGGCGAAGGCGGCCACCUGGACAGGUACUGACGCUGAGGCGCGAAAGCGUGGGGAGCAAACAGGAUUAGAUACCCUGGUAGUCCACGCGGUAAACGAUGGAUGCUAGGUGUCGGGGAGCGAUCUUCGGCGCCGCAGCUAACGCAUUAAGCAUCCCGCCUGGGGAGUACGGUCGUAAGGCUGAAACUCAAAGGAAUUGACGGGGGCCCGCACAAGCGGUGGAGUAUGUGGUUUAAUUCGAUGCAACGCGAAGAACCUUACCUGGGUUUGACAUCCCGCGAAUCCUCCCGAAAAGGAGGAGUGCCCUUCGGGAGCGCGGANC
rnacentral:rRNA from 1 species